rnacentral:rRNA from 1 species
AGUCGUAACAAGGUUUCUGUAGGUGAACCUGCAGAAGGAUCAUUAGUGAAGAUUUGGGCAGGCCAUACGGACGCCAAAAAGUGUCCCUGGCCGCCUACACCCACUAUACAUCCACAAACCCGUGUGCACUGUCUUGGAGAAAGGCUUCAGAGAAGUUUUUUGUGGCCUCUCUUGGGGUCUUUCUUCGCUACAAACUCGAAUGGUUGUAUGAACGUGGAACUUGGUUGGACCGUCACUGGCCAACAAACUAUACACAACUUUCGACAACGGAUCUCUUGGUUCUCCCAUCGAUGAAGAACGCAGCGAAACGCGAUAGGUAAUGUGAAUUGCAGAAUUCCGUGAAUCAUCGAAUCUUUGAACGCACCUUGCGCUCUAUGGCAAUCCGUAGAGCAUGCCUGUUUGAGUGCCAUGAAAUCUCCCACCCCAAGCGGUUUUUAAAUGAAACGGCUUGGCGGAUGGGGUCUGGAUGGGUGCCUCUGCCUGCGCUACCUAGCACAGGCUCGCCCGAAAUGCAUGAGCGCCUUGAGACACUUUGCAUCCGCCUCUCUGUUUGGGAGGAGGCGGCCAAGCAGUGUUUUUCUCCUGGCAUGGCAUGAUACGUCAUUUGCUAUGUCGCCUAAAGGAGGAAUGUUUGGUUGUGUCUGCGUGUGCUUCGAACUUGCCUCUGUGGCACAUCCCAAUUUCACUUCUGGUCUCAAAUCAGGUAGGAUCACCCGCUGAACUUAAGCAUAUCAAUAAGUCG